AACGCGCUGGGGUCCCAUUCCGUGUUGUGGGGGUUUUUUUCUUUAGCUCUUCGCAAUAAAUCUUGCUGCUGCUCACUCUUUGGGUCCACGCCCCUUUAUGAGCUGUAACACUCACCGCGAAGGUCUGCAGCUUCACUCCUGAAGUCAGCAAGACCACAAACCCACCAGGAGGAAUGACCAACUCCGGACGGCCACCUUUAUGAACUGUAACACUCACCGCGAAGGUCUGCAGCUUCACUCCUGAAGUCAGGGAGACCACGAACCCACUAGGAGGAAGAAACUCGGGACUCGCCCGAACAUCGGAAGGAACAAACUCCAGACACACCAUCUUUUAAGAACUGUAACACUCACUGCGAGAGUUUGCGGCUUCAUUCUUGAAGUCAGCGAGAUCAAGAACCCACCAAUUCCGGACACAAUACCUUACAGACUCUGAAUGUUCAGUAUUACUUUAUUUCCUUCCAAUCAUAAAUGUUAAACUGAUAGAGAUUUCAAGUUCUAUAUGUUGAUAAGUUGCAUAAGAUAAUUUCGGCUUUAUGUUUUGACAUUAUUUUCAUGUAGGUAUUUUAUAGAUUAGCAUAAAAUAUUACGUAUUUUUAUAAUUUGAAAAGAUAUUGAAAACUGUGUUUUACUUUUUCUGGCUUUUAUUUUUAUUCUUGAACACCAUGGUCAAUUGCUUUUUUACUUUCAUUUCUCAACUUGUUUGGACAAAUUUUGCAAAGAUAUUCUUACCCUUGGCCUCUCCCGACAAAUUCCUCUCAUAAGUAAAUAUUAUCUUGAGAAUGUGUGGACUCUUAUGUAGAAAAAGAACAACAUAAACUCAAUGUUUAUUAAAAAACGUGAGAUUACAAAUGACUUUUUUAAAAAGGGAAUCAAAUUUCAUUUCAGGAAACUUACUAGAAAAAAAUUCUUAUGAACACCUAAACUAGUGUAAGUGUGUUAUUCUGUGAAAACAGUAAUUCCUUAUUUCAAAAAUAGUUUCUAAUAAAAGAACCUGGAUUAUAUAGCUACUCAAGUUGAACAGAUGAUCACAAAGAACCUUAACUGUAACCAUAUUUAGCUAUCAAAAAUAGAAAGGAAAUUUUGGUUAUAGUUCUCUGUCCCACAUUUAAUUUAAAAGAAUAAUGGCUAUUUGUUAUCAAAGUAUUUUAAUACAUUUCUUAUGUCUGCCCAUCUAAAAUGAAAACUUUUAUUUCCAUAAAGUUUUGUAUAACAUGUCUUAAAUGAAUGUGCAGUCAUAACUGCAUUCGGUUACUAAAGGAACUAAUAAUUCAUAAAUUGCAUUUAUUUGUAUGUUACUAACAUUAAAAAGAGAUGUUUUGUCAUGUUUAUAAUGAUCGUCAUGUAUAUAAUGAUAUAUGUUUAUAAUGAUGACAUCAUCGUCAUUGUAAGAUUAGCUAAACUCUUUGUCCUUCAGUAUAAAAAUUAAAGCCAGUAUAUUAUUUUU
rnacentral:lncRNA from 1 species